rnacentral:tRNA from 12 species
UCGGGAAGUAGCUCAGCUUGGUAGAGUACUUGGUUUGGGACCAAGGUGUCGCAGGUUCGAAUCCUGUCUUCCCGAUUCA